CCAUUUUUCCCUGCAAAAGAUGAUAUCAACAGAUCACAAGUGAAAAAAAAUAGAAGCAAUGGCGGAAAAAGCAGCACCUCAGGAACAGAGAAUGUCGUACUAUGAUCAUGUCCAAAAGCGCAGGAAAGAUAAAGGCCCUCUCUAUGCUAUUUUGUUUACCUUGUGUUGCUGUUGUUGCUGCUAUGAAACUUGUGAGUGUUGUGUGGAUGGCAUUUGUUGCUGCUGCUCUUAAUGCAGAGCUAUGUGGCCCUCCCUAAUGCAGCUCAGUUCAAAUCAAACAAGUUCUUAGUUUGAAUUAGUCAUCUAUAUUUCGUAAAUUGUGUAAUUUGUUUUUUAAAUGCAUCAACUUGUAGGAUAGGAGAUCGAACCUGUGUAAAGCUCACUUUGACGUAAAUUGUAUUUGUCUCUGUUCCAUUUAAAGUUUGUGAUGAUGAUCAUUUUUAUUAUCUCAUAAAAGUAUUCCAAACGAUUGAAAUAUAUAAUAUCUUCUCUUCAACCUGACA